GAUGAAGAACGUAGCGAACGUACGAAACGUAAUGUGAAUUGCAGAAUUCAGUGAAUCAUCGAAUCUUUGAACGUAUCUUGCGCUCCUUGGUAUUCCGAGGAGCAUGCCUGUUUGAGUGUCGUGAAUACUCUCAACUUCAACCCUUUUUUCGGAAAGGGAGGAAGGUUGGACUUGGGUGUUUGUUGAAGUGCGAGCUUCGACUCAUCCUAAAUGCAUUAGCGAUCUGCCUCGAUCACACACAAUGUGAUAAUUAAAACUAAAGCAUUGUUUAAUGAUCAAGUCGAGACUGCUUCUAACUGUCGCAAGACAAUAACGUGCAUACAUUUGUGCAUGUCAUUUGACCUCAAAUCAGGUAGGACUACCCGCUGAACUUAAGCAUAUCAAUAAGCGGAGGA
rnacentral:misc_RNA from 1 species